UCAUCAGGGGCGGAGCCGGGGCCGCGGAGCGACUGCGUUGGACCCUCUUCGGCCGCUGUCUUAGGGCGGAUCCGGAAGGUGGGUAGGAGGUGGAGGCCCAGAAGAGAAGGAAAUCUAGCCCGAGAUGGAGUUCGACAGAGAGAAUCUGAAGCGGCAGCUGAGCAAGGUGCGGAGCUGAGGUGGCGCCUGGAGUUGAGUGCAGUGCGGAGGGCUUGGAACGACUGCUAGGGGCGAAAUUGGGGCCAGAGCCUGCGGAGGGUGGGCGGAGACACGGGGCGGUCUGGGGGCGGAGCCUGGGUGAGGGGGGCUGCCCUUCCUCCUGCGUCCCUAUGGGUCAGAGUUAGUAGAGACUCUUGCUCAGGUACACGUUCUUGGCUCCCUCAGUUUAAGGAUGGGGAAACCGAGGCUCUGAGCGGUUCGGCUAAGGUUGUCCAGCUGAGUAGAGAGCUGCUGGGCUUGACCCCAAACCUUCAACCUCCCCCAAGCCGGCCUUUUAAGUGUUUUUAGUGUCGAAUUAAUGCUCUUUUACGUCGCUGUCACUUCCCACAGAUUCACCCCUCCCUCAAUUCCACCCCACGGAACCCUGCUUUAUUUUAUUAUUUAUAUAUAUAUAUAUAUAUAUAUAUAUAUAUAUAUAUAUAUAUAUAUAUAUAUAUAUAUCCAUCUCUGUGUAUAAUGUUCUGGUUCUGCUUCUUUCAUCAUGCAUCAAUUCCUGGAGGUCAUUCCAGUUCACAUGGAAUUCCUCCAGUUUAUUAUUCCUUUGAGCACAAUAGUAUUCCAUCACCAACCAUUUUUGCUACCACAAAGAGCGCAGCUAUGAAUAUUUUUGUACAUGUCUUUUUCCUUAUUAUCUCUUUGGGGUACAAACCUAGCAGUGCUAUGGCUGGAUCAAAGGGCAGGCAGUCUUUUCGUGCCCUUUGGGCAUAGGGGAACCCUGCUUUAGAACAAAUGAGCACUGCCAGUGAGUCAAAGGUGUUUUAAGCACAUGUAGUUAUCAAAUAUUUAUUAAGUACCUACUAUGUGCCAGUCAGUAAACACUUAGUAAACUGACCAAGUAGCAUAAUAAAUUAAAGUAGGAAGUUAAGAGUUCUCUGACAAAGCGACCUCCUCACCACAAAUAAACAAACAAAAAUACAGGCCCUGCUCCCUAGGAGCCCAUUGUCAAAUAAGCAAACAUCUAUGUACAAACAGGAUAUAUACAGAAUAAGUUGGAGAUACUUGACUAGGGAUGAUACUAGCUUUUUUAGCUGGGUUUUGGAAGCCUCCAGGUGAGAAAAGAAGAGAAUUCCAGGCUGGGGGAAGGGGAGGGUGACAGCCAGUGAAAAUUCCCAGAUGGAGCAUCUUGUUGGAGGAAGAGAAUGUGGAGGGAUGUAAAGUGUAAGAACACUGGAAGGGGCCAGGUGAAGGAGGGCUUUAAAAGGCAUAGGGGAUUUUAUAUUUUAUCCUGUAGUUUAUUGGGGGGGGGGGGGGGGAAGUGACAUGGUGCUUUGUGCUUUAAGAAGAGUGUUUUGACAACUAAAAUAAAGAUAAUCCCCUGGAGUUGAGAGAGACUUGAGUCAAGAAGCUCAAUGUUGGGAAUCUGUUUAUUGAAUUAGUCUGAUCCAGAAGUGAUUGAGACUGCACCAGGGUAGUGGUGGUGUGUGUGUGUGUGUGUGUGUGUGUGAGUGAGAGAGAGAAGGGAAACAAACAUAUAUAUGAGAUAAUGUGAAGGGUAUAAUCAGCAGGACUUGGCAACAGAUUUAAUAUGGGGGUCAGAGUGAAGAAUCAAAGAUGACAGAUAGGUUGUGAGCUUGGGUGACUGAGAAGAUAAGUGCCCUCAAUGGUAAUAGGAAAAUUAGAAAGAAGAAAGGAAGGGAAGAAACAAGAAUUUAUUAAGUCUUUAGUAUGUCCCAGACACUGCUGGGUUCUGUAGCUAGAAAUACUCCCAAUGAGGAAGCCAGUCCUUGACUUUGAAAUUACAAAGCUGGCACACUCAGCAUGAGUCCUCUUCAGGGGCAUUGUUUUAAAAUCUAGAAAUCAAGAACCAUGCCUGGAGGGGAAUGAAGCACCACAAACUACAUAGAGUCAACACCCUGGAACUCUGGAGAUGAGUCCAAACACUAGAUGAUUCUCCAAAGAACAAUUCAACUUGUGGAACUUACUUACCAUAUGGGGAACUAAGGCCUGGGAAGUAUGAUUGGCAUUACUAUGGCUACCAGGAAAUGAGAAGUCCAAGAGAGGAUUAUCAGAGAAGAGGCUGAUGCUUUACAAUAGAUUCAAAAGGGAAGGGUCCAGCCAAGGGCUGAGCUAUCUGGGAGAGGACUUUGAUAUAAUGGGAGAAAAUACUAAGGCAAAAAGGUACUUAACAUCUGAUAAAGGUCUACCUUUAGGUCUUUUGUUCUGUCUGAAAUGGACAAGUCUGGGACUUCCUUCCUCAUGAAUUCUCAAGGGAUGGGGGCAAAUUUGGGGUCUCCAGGUUUCAAGUUGACAGGGAUAAUCCAAAAGUUAUAAUUAACAAGUUGAAUGAGAAAAUCAGGAACCAAAGUACCUCAAUAGUCUAGAAUAGUGAAGCAGAUGUUAAGGUAAAAUCCUAGUAUGAUUCAAAAAAAUCAAUUGCAUCAUACAAAUGUAAAACUAUCUGGAGGUUUUAGAGGAUUUGAAUAAGUUUAGUAAUUGAAUAGUGUGUCAGCCUUUUUUUUUUAACCCUUACCUUCCAUUUUAGAAUCAAUACUAUAUAUUGGUUCCAAGGCAGAAGAGUGGUAAGGGCUAGGCAAUGGGGGUUAAGUGGCUUGCCCAGGGUCAUACAGGUGGGAAGUGUCUGAGGUCAGAUUUGAACCUAGGACCUCCCAUCUCUAGGCCUACCUCUCAAUCCACUGAGCUACCUAGCUGUGUCCCCAAUAGUGGGUCAAUCUUGAAAAACACAGAACCAACGAAGUAGUUAGAAAGAAUAAGUCUUUAAUCAGGACAAGGGAGACAAUACUCUAAUGGCCUCCAAACAGAGUAAUAUGCAAAGUACCAUACAGACACAAGCUCUGGGACUCGGGAAAAACUGUCCCUGGGAAAAUGCCCUUCAAAAAGGGAUUUUUCCAAUGAACUGGAGAACUUAUAUAUGUUCUUAUAUAUAUUUUGGGAAAUAAAGGACUGGAAGGACAAUUGAUUGGUUUAUGUAAAAACCAGGGAAGGGGAAGCUGGGAGGGGCCUAGAUACCAUGGGAGAAACUUCUAAUAUCAAAAGAUACUUAAGAUUUGAUUCCCUCUACUGAUCCUAUCUAGGCUGAGAUCAUCAGGUACUUGAAGGUCUCCAGUUCAGUCUAAAACAAGGGUCAGUCUGGGACUUCUCUAAAGGCACGUUCCCAAGGGACAAGGGCAAAUUUACAGGAUUCCAUAAAACAAGGACUUCAAGAAGUCAAAUAAAUUAAGUCAAUCUUAGGCUUCAUUGAGGGUGUGCCGUGAAAGAUAAGGAGUUCAGUUUUGAACAUGCUGAAUUGAAAAUGCCUAUGAGACAUCCAGUUUUAGAUAUCCAAAGGCAGAUUGGAGAUGCAAGUUCAAGGGAUAAGUUAGGGCUGAAUAAAUAGAUCUGAGAAUCACCUACAAAAAAAAGAUGAUGAUAGUUAAGUCUUCAGGAACUGAUGAAAUCAAGUGGAAUGGUACCAAAGGAGAAGACGGCCUAGGAUAGAUAAAAUUAUACCUAUAGUUAGCAAAUGGACCAUGGUUGAAGAUUCAGCAAAAGAGACUGAGAAGGAGCGGUCAGACAGGAAGGAUGUGGGAAUGAAAGAAAAUGCAUUGUUAAUUGAAAAAAUUCAUUAAAAAAUAUAUGGCCAUUUUUCAAAAAAGUGGAGGCACUGAAUUUAUAUGGCUUUCUCAAAGAGUUUAGCUGAGAAGAGGUAGCGAAAUAUUAGAAGGAGCCAGUAGAUAGAAAGAUUAAAGAUUAGAGGAGGGGGUAUGGGAGAUAAAAAGGGAAGAAAAUGGAAGGCAGUGGAAUCAAGGGCGUACAUAGAAUGGUUUGCCUUGGCAAAGAAAAAGGCUCUCAGUUUUAUAUUGGAAUGAAGGAUGAGAUAGUGAAGGUUUAUAUUAGAGGGUUGGUUUGGGUAUAAUGGAGGAAAGGUAGAUGAUAAAUGUUCAGAAGGUAGAAGGAGGGUGAGAUGGAUUCUCCCCCUUCAGUCUUCUUCAAAAAUGUCUUUCCACUAACCCUGCCUUUAUUUCCCUCUAAUAACUGAUUUAAUGAGUGAACCUUUUCCUUUGGGGAAAGAGAGAGAAAUCAGCUCUCUCCCCCUUCAAUAUGACAAGGAAGUCAAUUUAAGAUAACUGACAACUUUAUUCUAACAAAUGGUGGUUAGGGGUAAGAUAAGAAAGAGGUCUGCAGGUUGGAUUGGAAAGAGUGUAAGGAAAGUCCCUGUCUGUCUAAAAAUAUCAUUCUCCCUCCCCCCAAAGUUGAGAGACCCAGGCUUGUGAGCCUAGUCUCUUAAGAGGCUUAGGGUUUUGUAACCCCUGGUCUUAUCACAGCAGAGCCAAUGCCCAGCCUCAGGGUGUCACAGGAGCUGUGUGAGAUCUUAUGUUGUUCUUAUUCUUCUCAGGUUCUGCCACAAUUCUUGGUAUUUUGGGGGAAAUGGUGGUUAGGAUCAAUGAGGGAUUUUGUAUGGCUCAGGAGAGAAAUCUCUGAUCAGCCUGUCACCCUUGCUAUCUCAAGAUAGAGAGAGAGAUUAACUGUCUCCCACCUGGAAUCACUCUUCCCUCAAGAUUCCAAGCCUCUUUCACCAUCCCCCGCUAUGGAUGCAAACUUCUGCAUGUCUUCCCAGCUCUGCCCUUCAAAGUCUCUGGAUCAUUCCUCUAUCACAGUACAAAUUCAGGGAUCUUACAGUGGAAGAAUUAACGAAAGUAAAUAUGUUGUAUCCAAAUUUCAGAUUCUCCAUGGAUACCUAUGUAUUCAAAGACAGUUCUCAGAAAGAUCUUCUGAAUUUUACUGGCACUAUUCCUGUGAACUAUCAGGGUAAUACAUAUAAUAUACCAAUUCGUUUUUGGAUUUUGGAUUCUCACCCAUUUGCACCCCCCAUCUGCUUCUUGAAGCCAACUGCAAACAUGGGAAUUUCAGUGGGAAAACAUGUGGAUGCUCAGGGUAGAAUAUAUCUGCCCUAUCUGCAAAACUGGAGUCAUCCUAAAUCAAUCAUCACUGGGUUAAUCAGUGAAAUGAUUAUCAAGUUUCAGGAGGAACUUCCUCUGUACUCCUUAUCUUCUGCUGCUGAGACUCAGCAGGUAGAAUUGCUAGCCUAUAUUUCAAAGAUCACUCAAGGUAUCUCAGACAUGAAUUCAAAAAAUCAAGAAAAAAGUGUCAACAAAAUUACUGUGGUUGGAAGUGGAGAGCUGGGGAUUGCUUGUGUAUUAGCAAUUUUAGCAAAGGGUGUUGCAGACAAGGUGGUCCUUAUAGACUUCUCAGAAGGGACAAAAGGAGGAGCAAUGGACAUAGACAUUUUCGAGCUUCAAAAUGUGGAGAUCAGCAAAGUUCUUUCUCUGGAUGUGGAUAGCAUUCUUUCUCAUAAGUCCCUCAGAAAUGUUCAAGCCAUACUUUGAUGCUACCUUUGAUGUGUUUACAGGAGGAUGGAAAUAAGUUCAGUAGAAAAAACAAUACUUGUCUGCCUCUUGGAAUUCCAAAGUGGUGAUCUUCACGGUUAACUCCUUAGGUAAUUCUCACACUUACCUCGAUGUGGUACAGAAUAAUGUGGACAUGUUUAAAGAGCUC